GAUGAACGCUGGCGGCGUGCUUAACACAUGCCAGUCGAACGAUGAAGCCCAGCUUGCUGGGUGGAUUAGUGGCGAACGGGUGAGUAACACGUGAGUAACCUGCCCUUAACUCUGGGAUAAGCCUGGGAAACUGGGUCUAAUACCGGAUAGGAGCGUCCACCGCAUGGUGGGUGUUGGAAAGAUUUAUCGGUUUUGGAUGGACUCGCGGCCUAUCAGCUUGUUGGUGAGGUAAUGGCUCACCAAGGCGACGACGGGUAGCCGGCCUGAGAGGGUGACCGGCCACACUGGGACUGAGACACGGCCCAGACUCCUACGGGAGGCAGCAGUGGGGAAUAUUGCACAAUGGGCGAAAGCCUGAUGCAGCGACGCCGCGUGAGGGAUGACGGCCUUCGGGUUGUAAACCUCUUUCAGUAGGGAAGAAGCGAAAGUGACGGUACCUGCAGAAGAAGCACCGGCUAACUACGUG
rnacentral:rRNA from 1 species